ACACUGCUGAAUCCUGUGUUCUUUCAUCAGUAAUUUACACAGCUACACACCAUGCAAAAGCCAAGUCUUCCUUUUAAAAUGGAUGAUGAUAUACUUGGGUUUUUUAAAUGGUGUGACAUCAUUCAUUAAAAGAAAGUACACUA